AACAAUGCUUAUUAUAAUGUAUCAGACUCUGUUUUAGGUGUUUAACAAGUAUCAGAGCAUUUAGCAAUUGCAGAAACCCUGUGACAUAGAAAUUAUCAUCAUCUGUGUUUUACAAAUGAGGACGCUGAAGGUUCGGUAACGUGCUCAAUCCCAGGCUUGUAAUCAAUGAAAGCGGGACGCAAACCCAGGCAGCGGGCUGUAAAGUCUGUGCAUUGAGCCCCUUGCCUGCUCUUAGCGCCUGUGGUACCCACCCUGCUUCAUUUAUAUCCAUCUACAGCCUCCGCCUCCGACCUGCUCUCCCGCCCCCUCCUUCCUCCCUUCCUCCCGCCUGCUCCCUGUCCUAAUUAAUAAGAAUGAGAGUGAAAUGACUUUCUCGUAAAAUCUCACCGAGCAAAGGCUGAGGAAAAGCUGCGUGUUACUACUUUACUAGAGAGAAUUCCAACAAAGCUGGAGAGAGAAAAGGGAGGCAGGAGGGGAGGAGGGGACGCACCGGGGAGUGUCAUUGAUCUGGCUGCCGCUAGGUAUUGUUUCAUUACAAGGGGCCUUUUCUAAAAGGCAUACGAACUACUGCACCAAAGAACUAAGUCUCUGCUGGUGGGAGAGGGAGCAGAACGUGCGUUCACUGGAUCCGACCUCCCAUCCACCUGAGGUUCGGCUCCAUGGGACCCUGACCCUCCUGCACUUCCUGGACUGUCAUGCAAGGUCACGGCUGGGCUUCUGGCAUCGCCCAUAUCAGCGGCAGCGGAGAGACUCCUGGAGAAGGUUGUCAGGUGAAGAAAUGGAUGCGCACAGGCCUAAGGACACCACCCAGAGCAGUCUAGGUCCAGAGGCCCUGCCCUGCACCCCUGCCUCCCACGGGAGUCACACAUCCAGGUCCACAGGAGAAAGUAAGAUUGACCACCAUUCUAGGAGGUGUUGCACCAUUUCUGAGCUCAGUGUGAACACUUGAUUAGACUUGAAACCACAAGUUCACAAGCUAUUGCAGAUCAGAAACCAGAAAGGUUAGGCAGCCAGCAGAGAGGCAGGAAGGGAAGCAUCUAAGGACUACAGAUCCUGAGGCAAGAUGAAGCAUUAUUUCUGCUUUACAGAUGAAGAAGGCAAGACCCAGUGAGUGGAAGUGACUUACCUGAGACCACACAGGCGGGAGAAGACAGGAAAUGGGUUUCACUAAGGUUUGCCUGACUUCUAAGCCCCAGCAGUACCAGCCUAGGCACGUGGCUCCUCAUUUCUACUUCUGGGCCCACUGCUGACCUGCUCCUCCUGAAUUGCCCUGCCUGCCUUUUAGAUCUUAGUUCUGGGUCUCACUUUUUUGCAUGUAACUAUCAAUGAAGGCCAGUGAUUGGAAUAUGUUUUUUUAUUUUGUUCUUAUUUUGAUUUGCAGACUAGGAGACUAAAGCUCAUACUGGUGAAGUGACUUCCUUAGUGUCUUAUAGCUAACUGAUGGCUAACCAGACUCCUGGCCUGAUAAGCUGCCCACCUCACCUCCUGUCACUGCCUCUGUGGCCUCCAGGGCAAUGCUAAGAAAAUGAGAAGAUGAAUUUGUUUUACUUCCUUGAUAUGAAUUGAUGUUGGUUUUAUACCAACAGGUGAGGACUGUUUCCAAAUGGGGUGUGUGUGUGUGUGUGUGUGUGUGUGUAUGUGUAUGUGUGUGUGUGUGUGUGCAUGCACACAGAAACACUCAUGCAGGUUCACAGAAAGGGUUUUAUCAAUGUCACUGUGUUAAGGGUGAAAAUGUAUUAAAGAAUAAAA